rnacentral:rRNA from 1 species
UACGGGGGGGGUAAGCGUUGUUCGGAAUUACUGGGCGUAAAGGGCUCGUAGGCGGCCAACUAAGUCGGACGUGAAAUCCCUCAGCUUAACUGGGGAACUGCGUCCGAUACUGGAUGGCUUGGAUUUGGGAGAGGGAUGCGGAAUUCCAGGUGUGGCGGUGAAAUGCGUAGAUAUCUGGAGGAACACCGGUGGCGAAGGCGGCAUCCUGGACCAAUAUUGACGCUGAGGAGCGAAAGCUAGGGAAGCAAACGGG